CUACCAACUUUGUGAGUAUGGAGCUGUUCCUCCUAUUCCUUUACUACUGUUGGAUGUCCUUCGAUUAGCCCUGAGCUAACUGCUGCCAAUCCUCUUUUUGCUGAGGAAGACUGGCCCUGAGCUAACAUCCAUGCCCAUCUUCCUCUACUUUAUGUGUGAGACGCCUACCGCAGCAUGGCUUGCCAAGCUGUGCCAUGUCUGUGCCCAGGAUCUGAACCGGUGAACCCUGGGCCUCUGAAGCGGAAAGUGAGCACUUAACCGAUGCACCACGGGGCCGGCCCCUGUUUCUUUCUCUUUUGCUCUUCAAGGUUCCAGAUGUAUUUCCCUCGUUACCAUCCAUCAUCAAAUGAGAGUCGAAAUAUUACAAAGGUUAACUUUUUCUUUGCCUGUGUCUGGAACUGUGUAAAUAGGAUUUAAAAAAUUUUAAAUAUUGAUAUAGGAUUUUUACAAUUUUAAAUGCUGAUUGGCUUUGAGCCAGCAUUUGAACUUAUGUUUCCAUAUUUUCUGUGAAAGUGGCUUGAUUUGAGUUUGGAAAAUGGCUGUGUAUAAUUCAGAGUAUCUAUAAUAAUUUUUAUUUUGAAAAACUUCAUAAAACAUGGUACAUUUAAGGAAUGAUAUUAUUUCAACUGGAUGUUGUCCAAGAUGAUGAUACCUGAUGAGGUCAGAUGGAGUUAGCAAGACUGAUGUAAAAUCUCUUUCAAAAAAAUGAAUUGUUAUCUUCUUUUCGGGAAAUGGAGUUCUCUUUAUAGAUAUAGUCCAAAAAAUUCAUAUAUCACAAUUUAAAAUUUUAUAAUAUAUUCCUUAAUUUUGCUUUUAUACCUUAUGAGAUGAAUAAGUCAGUUUGUUCCAAUAACAACAUUAGUUCGUUCUGCUAUGUAAGAACAUCCCGGUUUAAGAAUUCUAAUUCCAGACCCUAGUUCUAAAAUGUCAACCUCAAGUGGAUAAAUUUUUCACCAUUACUCUAUUUUCUUAAUAGCAGUACAUCACACAUAAAUAUGGAAAUAUGAACGGGUCAUAUAAAGGUUUAUAUUGAGCCACUUAUUUCCUUGCAUUGAAAUAUUUUUGCACAAUUUUUUAAAUCCUGGUCAUAU
rnacentral:lncRNA from 1 species